UACGUAGGUGGCGAGCGUUGUCCGGAUUUACUGGGCGUAAAGAGCGCGCAGGCGGCCAAGUCCGUCGAAUGUGAAAGCCCCCGGCUUAACUGGGGAGGGUCAUUCGAUACUGCUCAGCUCGAAGACAGGAGAGGGAAGCGGAAUUCCCGGUGUAGUGGUGAAAUGCGUAGAUAUUGGGAAGAACACCAGUGGCGAAGGCGGUUCUCUGGGACGGUACUGACGCUGAGACGCGAAAGCGUGGGGAGCGAACAGG
rnacentral:rRNA from 1 species